rnacentral:rRNA from 1 species
UACGUAGGGUGCAAGCGUUAAUCGGAAUUACUGGGCGUAAAGCGUGCGCAGGCGGUUCGGAAAGAGAGGUGUGAAAUCCCAGGGCUUAACCUUGGAACUGCACUUUUAACUACCGGGCUUGAGUACGUCAGAGGGGGGUAGAAUUCCACGUGUAGCAGUGAAAUGCGUAGAGAUGUGGAGGAAUACCGAUGGCGAAGGCAGCCCCCUGGGAUGAUACUGACGCUCAUGCACGAAAGCGUGGGGAGCAAACAGG